rnacentral:rRNA from 1 species
CUGGCUCAGGAUGAACGCUAGCUACAGGCUUAACACAUGCAAGUCGAGGGGCAGCAUGUGGUGCUGCAACCAAUGAUGGCGACCGGCGCACGGGUGAGUAACGCGUAUCCAACCUUCCCUAUAGUAGAGGAUAGCCCGGCGAAAGUCGGAUUAAUACUCUAUGUUUUCCAAUGCAGACAUCUAAGUUGGAACAAAGGUUCACCGCUAUAGGAUGGGGAUGCGUCUGAUUAGAUAGUCGGCGGGGUAACGGCCCACCGAGUCGACGAUCAGUAGGGGUUCUGAGAGGAAGGUCCCCCACAUUGGAACUGAGACACGGUCCAAACUCCUACGGGAGGCAGCAGUGAGGAAUAUUGGUCAAUGGGCGAGAGCCUGAACCAGCCAAGUAGCCGUGCAGGAUGACGGCCCUAUGGGUUGUAAACUGCUUUUAUACAGGGAUAAAGUGACGUACGUGUACGUUUUUGUAGGUACUGUAUGAAUAAGGACCGGCUAAUUCCGUGCCAGCCGCGGC